AAAGAUGGCGGGGGAGGCCUCAGUGAGGGCAGGCUGAUUUAAUACCCGAACCCGCGGCGGACCGCGAAGACAGAGGUAGCGGCGCAGCCCCGACCAUGGAGGAGGGCAACAGCGCUGGCAGCGGUGGCAGCGACAGCAGCACCAGCGGGAGUGGCGGGGCGCAGCAAAGGGAGCUGGAGCGCAUGGCUGAGGUCCUGGUCACCGGAGAGCAGCUACGGCUCAGGCUGCAUGAAGAAAAGGUUAUUAAAGAUAGGCGACAUCAUCUCAAAACCUACCCAAACUGUUUUGUUGCGAAAGAACUGAUUGACUGGUUGAUUGAACACAAAGAGGCUUCUGACAGAGAGACGGCGAUUAAACUCAUGCAGAAAUUAGCAGACCGGGGCAUUAUUCAUCACGUGUGUGACGAGCAUAAGGAAUUCAAGGACGUCAAACUCUUCUAUCGCUUUAGAAAGGACGAUGGCACCUUCCCACUGGACAACGAAGUGAAGGCCUUCGUGAGAGGACAGAGGCUGUAUGAGAAGCUGAUGAGCCCUGAAAACACACUCCUGCAGCCCAGGGAAGAGGAAGGGGUCAAGUACGAGCGCACCUUCAUGGCGUCUGAAUUCCUGGAUUGGCUGGUUCAGGAGGGUGAGGCCACCACAAGGAAAGAGGCGGAACAGCUCUGCCACCGGCUUAUGGAGCACAGCAUCAUACAGCACGUGUCCAACAAGCACCCGUUUGUGGACAGCAAUCUUCUCUACCAGUUCAGAAUGAACUUCCGGCGGAGGCGAAGACUGAUGGAGCUGCUCAAUGAAAAAUCCCCCUCCUCCCAGGAAACUCAUGACAGCCCCUUCUGCCUGAGGAAGCAGAGCCAUGACAAUCGGAAAUCUACCAGUUUUAUGUCAGUCAGCCCCAGCAAGGAGGUCAAGAUCGUGUCUGCCAUGCGGAGAAGCAGCAUGAGCAGCUGCGGCGGCAGCGGCUACUUCAGCAGCAGCCCCCCCGCCAGCGGCAGCCCCCCCGUGCUCUGCAACCCCAAGUCUGUGUUAAAAAGACCCGUCACUUCUGAGGAACUCCUGACUCCCGGGGCUCCGUAUGCGAGGAAGACAUUCACGAUUGUUGGUGACGCAGUAGGCUGGGGCUUUGUGGUGCGAGGCAGUAAGCCAUGCCACAUCCAGGCCGUGGAUCCCAGUGGCCCAGCAGCCGCUGCAGGAAUGAAGGUUAUUACAGAAUAUUGAGCAGAGUUCCCUGUGCUAUACAGUAGGUCCUUGAGAGCCUGCAUACCGCAAACUGCAGAGCCCACACGCCCUGGAGCCCGCGCGCCACAACUAGAGAGAAGCCUGCGCACCACAAUGAAGAGCCCGUGCUGCAACGAAAGAUCCCACAUGCCUCAAAGAAGAACCCACGUGCUGCAACUAAGACCCGAUGCAGCCAAAAAAAAGAAAAAUAGAAGAAAAAAAAAAAGACUGGCUUAUAUCCAGUUGGAAGUGAAACAGUUAAGAGUAAAUCCUAGUUUUAGCCAAUCAGGUUAUUUUACUGGUUUUACACAGGAAAUGUCAUAGUGUCCAUGUUUCUGCUUAAAGAGAAAACAAAACCAAUCAGAACGUUGCUUUAUUUUAACACAAUUAGUCAGGCUCUCAUCACAGGAAGCAAACUCUAAUCACUCUAAUCACCCACUGAUACAGCAGGAACAGAUUAUUGAUCUGGCUGAAGAGGGGCAGACCCGCAGUGACUGAACUGAGCAGGUAUCCAGAGUGCUGCAGUAUUUAGCAAACAAAGAAAAGCCACCCCUUGGAUCAUGGAUGUUAUGGUUAGGAAACCCCCAGUACCUCGGACAUUAUGAAACAACAACUGAGUUUGUAGGAAACAGACUGAACCCACACCCUAGAAUGAGAAUUAUUUACAUUCUACAAUUAACAUUCUAUAAUUAUAUGGCUCAAACUCCAUAUAUGGCUCUCACAACAGUGAGAAGCCCGCGUAACACAAAAAAAAAAAAAAGAAAGAAAGAAAGAAAAGGAGUCCUCAAAUCUGGAAGCUUCUCCCACCCAGCCUAUAGCCUGGGGUUGUCUUUGUGCUCACAGCUUCCCAGUGAGUCAGAAGAUAUCUGAAUGCUUGGAUCUGCCUGACGUUUUGCUGUUUAUUUAGGACAAGACCAAGCCAAGAGUCACAUCAUUUAAAACACGUGAAAAGAGAAUCCAGCCCACAAACUGGGUGGAGAGUUGGACGUGAACUGUGAAGAGAGCGAGAGGGAAGGGCGGGUCUCGGACUUGGCGGAUUUCGGUUGGGUGUGGAUUCUGUGUUUGCGAGAGAAGAUGCAGCAGGGUCUUUCUGCAAUGAGAAGCCCCAUAACAGAAAUUAAGUAGACAAUAAUUACUGUAAGAGCUCAAAGGAGGGAAAGGCAAUUCUGCCUGCGAUGGACUUCACCAAAAAUCAAGAAUGGCUUCUUCAUCACAAAAACAAUACUGGAGGUAAGAAAUUAGGGAGCAAUACCUUUAAAUUUUUGAAGGAAAAUAAUUUCUAAGCUAGAAUUCUAUGCACAGCCAAACUAGUAAUGAAAUUUGAGCAUAAAGACAUACAAGGUCUCAAAAAUGUAUCGAUUUCCCGCCCCCCAUGCCCUUGUCUUAGGAUACCACUAGAGGAUGUCCUUCCUCAGAAUGAGGGCAUAUUUAUCAUCAUCUCAUUAUCUAUAUGAGAUGAUGGAUGUUCACUAAACUUAUUGUGGUAAUCACUUCAUGACAUAUGUAAGUCAAAUCAUUAUGCUGUAUGCCUUAAACUUAUACAGUGCUGUAUGUCAAUUAUAUCUCAGUAAAACUGAAAGAAAAAAAUUAAAACAACAAAAAAGAGGGAGUAAAAUUCAAUCUAGGAAGAUGUGCAAAAUUGAAAACAAGGUAUCCAGCAGAGGAGAGAACCCCCAGAAUAAUGACUGUGGUGUAGAUAAUUCAUAAUUCAGCUGUAAAGGGCAGCCACCCAGAUGGAAGCAGCAAGACUCAGGAGACAAGCUGUUUGGAGCUGUCAGCACCGUGCCUGCUGCUGUGGAACCAUCUUUUAACCAGAGAAAACUCCUGGAGAAAGUAUCAACCCAAACAAGGGAAUAUACUAAGAAAGAGGAAGGUAUGAUAUCCAGGAAGUAGGGAAGCCAAUCUUGGAGAAAGACAGAAGGAAUUCCAAGUUUGGUAGAAAACAAAGGCCAGGAUGACAACCGAGCAGCAGGUCUAAAGGAAAACCUGCCUGGAGAAGAGGGAUGUUUAAAAAUAUUUUUACCUGAUAUCAGUGACUUUUGGACAUUGCACGGAGACGUUAUUGGAAGUAGUUGGAAAGAUUAGCAAUAAGCAAAAAUCAAAUAAAGCAAAGGAAAAAGCAAGACAAUUAUUAACUUUAGAGAAAACCUAAAAGUAGAAGUAAAAAUGAUCAUAAUACAUUAUGAUGCUUUUAUGUGAAUAUUUGCAAAGCAUAGGAAUGGAAACACUGAAUAUGGAGGUGAACAUCAUAUGGGGAAGAUAAAAGAGGAGAAAAGGGAUGGCAGCCUGAAAGAGCUACAUCCUCUUCUACCAUAACAGGAAAUAUAGAAAUGAUGUUUAAAAUUGAUUAUUAAACACAUAGCAGUACCUACAUUAUAUUGAGAAAUAUGGAGAUUUGAAAAUGUCAAAGAAAAACUGCUAAAAGAGUCAAAGGUGAUUACUUCUGGUGAGCAGAAGUAAUAUUUUUUUAACAAGUUUUUAGUAUUAAAUUUUAAAAUUACAUAUAUAAAUUAUUUUAGUAAAAUGGUAUAAAAAAAUUAAGUGUCCAUGUGGGCUUUCACAAAAGUUUGGUAUCCAAACGACUCUCAGUAAAGAUUCUUCUUCUUCUGUGGUAUUAUUGUUAUUGGAAAGAGUCUUGACUUAUUGUCAGAUGCUGUUGAAUCUCAUAAUAUCUGCCACUGAUGCUUUCUGGGGAUUUAAUGCAUGGGAUCUCAGUUUCUUCAUUUGUAAAGUGAAGGGGUUACCAUAUAUAUAUAUGUAUAUGUAUAUAUGUAUAAAAUCUCUUAGGCCUGCUCCAGCCCUAUUAUGUUAUGAACAGGACCUAUUAUGCAACAUGCAUACACUGACAGGUUGCAGUCACACAUGCGAAACUUGGCUGUUUUUUUGUUUUUUGUUUUUUUUGGUACGCGGGCCUCUCUCUCACUGUUGUGGCCUCUCCCGUUGCGGAGCACACGCUCCGGAUGCGCAGGCUCAGCGGCCAUGGCUCACGGGCCUAGCCGCUCCGCGGCAUGUGGGAAUCUUCUCGGACCGGGGCACGAACCCGUGUCCCCUGCAUCGGCAGGCGGACUCUCAACCACUGCGCCACCAGGGAAGCCCUUGGCUGCUUUUAAAGUCCUGACUUUGAUCUACGCCAUGGAGCCGAGAAGAUGAGGAAUGUCUUAAUCACUGGUUCAAGAACAUGAAAGGUGAUUGUGAGACAAAGAGGGGAUUCCAGCACCAGGAAGGACAUUUUAAGACAAUAUGAUUUCAACCUCUGGAAUGAGUCUUACCUUGCAGAGCUGAUAUAUUUAAAAUGGGAUGAUGUACUUGAAUGCUCUUUGUAAAGUGAAAAUCCUAUACAA